CUGCCUCCUUGGAAGUAUUGGGAGUGAGUUCUGCCCUUUGGAAUGGGGUCUGUCAGCAGAAGGAGCAGCAACUGCACCUGGAGAUUGCUUCCUUUAGAGCGUGGGGUGAACCCUUGAAACUGGGACUGUGACCUUUCCUGUUUUUGGGGCAUCCUGACCACAUUGAAGUGCUGGCAGAUGUAAGGGCAGCAUUGAUCUCUGGAGACUGUCUCCUGUGGAGCAGGGGGACUUCACCUGACUGCCUCGACUUCUCAAAUACCACUGAGAGUGGCUCGGUGACUGCAGCGGUGAAUUCCCUCAGGGCUCUGGGACUCGUCUCAUCAGGACCCAAAGACUCCUGGAUGUCAGGUUCUCAGGUGGCUGCGGAGUUGCAGCGCUCCCGAGUGCCGUAACGACUGCAUGGAGAUGCGUGGCUCUUCAUGGGAACAGCAAGGAACCGGAAUCUGCAUUUCCUGGAAUGCCCCAGAGCCUCGCUUUGCUGGCUGGUAAUUGUCUGCCCAGCAGGUGGCAGCAGAGCUGCGUUGCUCCUGAGCACUUUAAGGACAGCACGGAGAUGCGCGGCUCUUCAUGGCAGCAGCAGAAACUGGAAUCUGCAUUUCCUGGAAUGCCCCGGAACCUCGCUUUGCUGGCCGGUAAUUGUCUGCCCAGCAGGUGAAGAUGCCUUCGAUGCUUCCAGUUGAUGGCUUCCCCCCUGCGAUGCCAUCGUCUUUCCAGUCCUCCCGCACUCACCGCCUGCUCGGUUCAGUCCAGCUGUUACCUGAAUCCCUGCUCCAUUCCCUUUCCUGAGUGCUGUAAGGACAGCAUGGAGAUGUGCGGCUCUUCAUGGCAGCAGCAGGAACCGGAAUCUGCAUUUCCUGGAACGCCCUGGAACCCCACUUUGCUGCCUGGUAAUUGUCUGCCCAGCAGGUGAAGAUGCCUUCGAUGCUUCCAGUCGAUGACUUCCCCCCUGCGAUGCCAUUGGCUUUCCUGGCCUCCCACAGUCACCGCCAGCUCAGUUCAGUUGAGCUGUUACCCGAAUCCCCACUCCGUUCCCUUUCCAUGAUUUCCAUGAUCUUCCUGUCACUCUGCCACAAGCCCCCACCAAGGUCAUCGCAGGCAACGUGUGGGAUGCAGCACUCGGUCUCAUUACAGUUCAUCCCAUCAGCUUCAGCCCAGCGAUCCAACCCACCCGCACCCUUCCUGAGGGCCCUUCUGCUCCCACGCCAAUCAACGCUUCCUUCUGAUGCCAUCUGCAUUCCUUCCUGGCCACUUUCAGACUCGUGCCCCUUUGUGGCCAUUUUGAGAGUUGCGCUGAUUUCAGCGUCUGCAUUCAAUUGACUUCAACCAAAUUGGCUUUAGCUUUACAUUCAAUUAAUGUAAACCAAAUUGGCUUUAGUUUUACAUUCACUUAAUGUAAACCAAAUUGGCAUUAGUUUUACACUCAAUUAUUGUAAACCAAAUUGGCUUUAGUUUUACAUCCAAAUUAUGUAAACCAAAUUGGCUUUAAGUUUGCCUUGCUUACGGGGUUGGGUUAGCUUUGCUUUGUUUGUUCUAGCGCAGGGCUAACCCAACCCCGUAACCAAGGGCCGGCGGAGGCGAUUUUGUUCCUUCCCGGCCAGUCUGAGACUCGUGCCCCCUUGUGGCCAUUUGAUGAUCUGUGCUGAUUUCAGCGUCUGCAUUCAAUUAAUCUCAACCAAAUUGGCUUUAGCCUUGCAGUCAUUUUGCAUCAACCAAAUUGGCUUUAGUUUUACAUUCACUUGACUUCAAUCAAAUUGGCUUUAGCUUUACACUCAAUUAUUGUAAACCAAAUUGGCUUUAGUUUUACAUCCAAAUUAUGUAAACCAAAUUGGCUUUAAGUUUGCCUUGCUUACGGGGUUGGGUUAGCUUUGCUUUGUUUGUUCUAGCGCAGGGCUAACCCAACCCCGUAACCAAGGGCCGGCGGAGGCGAUUUUGUUCCUUCCCGGCCAGUCUGAGACUCGUGCCCCCUUGUGGCCAUUUGAUGAUCUGUGCUGAUUUCAGCGUCUGCAUUCAAUUAAUCUCAACCAAAUUGGCUUUAGCCUUGCAGUCAUUUUGCAUCAACCAAAUUGGCUUUGGUUUUGCAUUCAACUUAUUUCAACCAAAUUGGCUUUAGUUUUACAUUCACUUGACUUCAAUCAAAUUGGCUUUAGCUUUACACUCAAUUAUUGUAAACCAAAUUGGCUUUAGUUUUACAUCCAAAUUAUGUAAACCAAAUUGGCUUUAAGUUUGCCUUGCUUACGGGGUUGGGUUAGCUUUGCUUUGUUUGUUCUAGCGCAGGGCUAACCCAACCCCGUAACCAAGGGCCGGCGGAGGCGAUUUUGUUCCUUCCCGGCCAGUCUGAGACUCGUGCCCCCUUGUGGCCAUUUGAUGAUCUGUGCUGAUUUCAGCGUCUGCAUUCAAUUAAUCUCAUCCAAAUUGUCUUUAGCCUUGCAGUCAUUUUGCAUCAACCAAAUUGGCUUUAGUUUUACAUUCACUUGACUUCAAUCAAAUUGGCUUUAGCUUUACACUCAAUUAUUGUAAACCAAAUUGGCUUUAGUUUUACAUCCAAAUUAUGUAAACCAAAUUGGCUUUAAGUUUGCCUUGCUUACGGGGUUGGGUUAGCUUUGCUUUGUUUGUUCUAGCGCAGGGCUAACCCAACCCCGUAACCAAGGGCCAGUGGAGGCGAUUUUGUUCCUCCCGGCCAGUCUGAGACUCGCGCCCCCUUGUGGCCAUUUGAAGAGUUGCGCUGAUUUCAGCGUCUGCAUUCAAUUAAUCUCAACCAAAUUGGCUUUAGCCUUGCAGUCAUUUUGCAUCAACCAAAUUGGCUUUGGCUUUGCAUUCAAACUAUUUCAACCAAAUUGGCUUUAGUUUUACAUCCAAUUAACGUAAACCAAAUUGGCUUUAGCUUUGCCUUGCUUACGGGGUUGGGUUAGCUUUGCUUUGUUUGUUCUAGCGCAGGGCUAACCCAACCCCGUAACCAAGGGCCGGUGGAGGCGAUUUUGUUCCUCCCGGCCAGUCUGAGACUUGCGCCCCUUUGUGGCUGUUCUGAGAAUUGCAAUGUCUUUGGAUGGGCUGAGAUCUGCACUGCUUUUGAGGUGGGUUCUCACAAAUGUGGUGUCACUAAUGGGGUAUGGUGUGUUUGUACUCUUUCUCUGGUUGGUCUGAUGUCUAUGUGAACCAUGUGUUACAGCUGUACUGCAUAUGUGUGUGCUGCGCCUGUAAAUUGCGUUGUGCCAUGUACACAAUAUGUGUUAUGUUGCGCCUGUAAACUGUGUUGUGCCAUGUACAGAAUGUGUGGAUGCUGUGCCUAUAAACUAAGUUGGGGAAUCACAGACCCCUAUUCAUUACAUGUUCUGCUUCUCAAUGCAUAGUUGCUGGUAUAGCGUGUAUAUAUAUGAUUGUAUGAGUCCUGCCUUGU